ACUUGCUUGUAGUCAAACAGAAGGCAGAGCUGCGAAUCAAAUCCAGGUUUGUCUCGACAUGCCACUAGCUCAUACUUCCCUUGGAUCAGCCACUAAAUGGCUUUCACUCCAGUGAGCAGCGACCAGCACUCCUGGGGACAUCAGGGCACUCACGCUCCUUAACACUGGACAGGAGACCUGCGCAGUCAUUCUAGCACCAGAAUUAUGGAACAUUUAUCAACAGCCUAAAAUAAAGACAACACGAGGAGAAUUUGGUUGCUUAUAUAGAUUCAAGGUACAAUCCUGCUGGAUUCUGGGAUUACAGGACUGUAGACAAAAGAGAAAUCAUCAUGGACUGUUCACUGGACAAAAUUUCAUGGAGAGGAGAAGACCUUUGGCGGUUCAUGGAUGUUCUAUAAUAAGUUAGAAGAAAUAUCACAGUGUGCAUGCACAGAAGUACGACCAUGUGAAGAGGUAGCAAGAGAGCAGCAAUCUACAAGCCAAGGAAAGAGGCCACAGAGGAAACCAACCCUGCCAGCAUCUUGAUCUUGGACUUCCAGCUUCCAGAACUGCCUUGUUCUUCUACCUUAUGAUGAUUCAAGCAAUGCCUGCUGCUUUUCCAAUCUGGGUUAGUUCAGAGUUAGGCAAACAGAGAACCAGGGACCCCACUCCCAUGCCGACAGUAUGGGCUGCUGUCUUCAGGACCAUUGCAAGUGUCCUUCACGGUUCGGUUCACAUUUCACAAGCCCCAUGAAGUCUAUCUGGAUUUUCGGUAAUGUUUCCUGUCUCUGAAAUCUUAUGACAUUUAUGUCUGUAUCAGCCAUUUGAUGCUUGAUUAUCUAUUUUUCAGAUGGAUGUCUUGCCUUUUCCUCUACACACUACAGGAAGAGUGGCCACCCCUGCCAAGGGCCUAGUAUAGUACCCUAUACAUGUAGCUGAUCAGUUGAUUGUUACUGAUCAUAUGUAUCCUGCAUCAUGUUAUAAAAAAUUAACACAGUGCUUGGCA
rnacentral:lncRNA from 1 species